UACGUAGGGUGCAGGCGUUAAUCGGAAUUACUGGGCGUAAAGCGUGCGCAGGCGGUUUGCUAAGACAGGUGUGAAAUCCCCGGGCUUAACCUGGGAACUGCGCUUGUAACUGGCAAGCUUGAGUGUGGCAGAGGGGGGUGGAAUUCCACGUGUAGCAGUGAAAUGCGUAGAGAUGUGGAGGAACACCGAUGGCGAAGGCAGCCCCCUGGGCUAACACUGACGCCU
rnacentral:rRNA from 1 species